rnacentral:rRNA from 1 species
GAGUAACACGUGGGUAACCUGCCCAUAAGACUGGGAUAACUCCGGGAAACCGGGGCUAAUACCGGAUAACAUUUUGAACUGCAUGGUUCGAAAUUGAAAGGCGGCUUCGGCUGUCACUUAUGGAUGGACCCGCGUCGCAUUAGCUAGUUGGUGAGGUAACGGCUCACCAAGGCAACGAUGCGUAGCCGACCUGAGAGGGUGAUCGGCCACACUGGGACUGAGACACGGCCCAGACUCCUACGGGAGGCAGCAGUAGGGAAUCUUCCGCAAUGGACGAAAGUCUGACGGAGCAACGCCGCGUGAGUGAUGAAGGCUUUCGGGUCGUAAAACUCUGUUGUUAGGGAAGAACAAGUGCUAGUUGAAUAAGCUGGCACCUUGACGGUACCUAACCAGAAAGCCACGGCUAACUACGUGCCAGCAGCCGCGGUAAUACGUAGGUGGCAAGCGUUAUCCGGAAUUAUUGGGCGUAAAGCGCGCGCAGGUGGUUUCUUAAGUCUGAUGUGAAAGCCCA